GUCUACGACCAUACCACCCUGAACCCACCCGAUCUCGUCUAAUCUCGGAAGCUAAGCAGGGUUGGGCCUGGUUAGUACUUGGAUGGAACAAUAAUAUUUUGUGAUCC
rnacentral:rRNA from 1 species